CUCUAGCCCUGACAGCAGCGGGCAUUCCGAUCCUUCAUCGGAAUAAAGCGGAUGGCAGGAACAUUC
rnacentral:sRNA from 2 species